GCCCCCCCACCCAUAAAGAAAGCUCCGCGGCUCUCGCCGCGCCCCCGCCUGCCCCGCCCGGCGCCGCACCACGUGGGCCAGGCGCCCCACGCCUGGAGCUCCCCUCUCUGGAGCCCCGGGAAAGGAAGCGGGGCAGGGAGGCCGGGUGGGAGCAGGGGGGUCUCCGGCGCUUCCUCUCCUCUGCGGGCGCCGCGCGGCUCCUGAGAGUCCGCCCCCCGUCCUGACGCUCAGCUAGGAAGCGGGUCCUCGGGCCCCUCCCCCGACACACACACACACACACACACACACACACACACACACACACACUCUCUCUCUCUCUCUCUCUCUCUCUCUCUCUCUCUCUCUCUCUCACACACACACACACACACACAGCCCGUCUCGCGCCUGAGGUCUCGCCCGCAGGCCGGUGGCGCGGGGUCAGCUGCUGCCUGCGGUCCAGGACAGGGUCGGUUCCGCCGCGCAGCGCCCAGGCCCAGCUCGUCCAGAGUCUGCGGACAGCGCACGUCCAGGCACUUUCCCACACAGGAUGGAGCCGGGCCACCCUCACAGCUCCUGCCCUGCAGACGCUGGCCUUGUGGAGGGAGGCAGGCAGCAGGAGCAGUGCUUUCUGGGCCUCUGUAGCCAGAGCUGGCCCUGCUGCAGCUUACGUCUGCCUGCAGCCCAGACGUCCUCCUGGUCCUCCUGAUGCCCCCGACCUCCACGGAGGACGAGCAUUUCCAGCCCAGCCCUCCCCAUCUUCACCUCGCACUCCCCUGACACACUGGGAGCCUCCUGAUCCGUGAACCCGCGCUGGCGGGAGUAGCUACUGACCGCUGGGGACCCCUGCCCAGGCUGUUCGCAUGUGGAAAGGAUUCAGGGAGCAGGCGAUGCCCAAAGCGUGGAGACCAGCACUGCUCUCUCCCCAGUGACAGGUGCACGCCCAGAUCACGGAUGUGUCGGGAACAGCUGUGCUCCUGCUGCUCAGCGUCCGUCACUCCAGGCUGGGAGCGGGUCCCCAAGCUUCUGGCUGGGCCUAUCCGUCUCCACUCUCAGUGUGGGGGUGGGGGGCGCCAACAGCACGCAUUUGCUCUCUGCACUUCUCGUCUGAUAAUGGGCAGAGGGUCCUUCUGCAGCCCCAAAACAUCCCUAGGCAGGAGCCCUGGGGCCCCAAGCAGCCAGGGAGGUGAGCACCAAGGACCUCCCAGAGAGCGUCACCUUCCGUCGAGGGAGGCCCAGCCUGGGGGCGGUGUCUGAGACUUGGAAUCAACGCUUCCGUUGGUGGCAGUAAAUCCUGUCCCUAACCCUGCAGUACAGCUGUGCCGUGUACAGGAGGGUGCUGUCUGACGCCAGACACCUGGACUACAGAUCGCAGCCUGAUUCCUGGUCAUUGCUCCACUGAACCCCAGACCCCAGCCUCGUUCUGGGCCCUCAUCCCCUAGAUCCAGGGACCCCAGCCCCAUUUCAGCCCUUGGGCCCUUGUAGGAUGCGAGGCCCUGGGCCCCAGCCCCCAGCCCAUCCGUGGCCCAGGCACUGGGGGGCUGAGGUCCUCUGAGAAGGGACACAGGGCCUGGGGGGCUCUCUCAGCCCAUCAGCAGGAGAGGACUGACUCCAGAAAAAUCAGCGUUUGUACCCACUCAGGCUGCCAAGACCUGUGUCCGUCCUUCCAAGCUCAACCUUCAGAGUUCAUGAGGCCCCUUGCCCAGAAUGUCCACAGAGUUCAUGAGGCCCCUUGCCCGGAAUGUCCACAUUUGAAACCUCCCAACACCGAGCCCCAUUUCAAGUAUAACCAGGAGGGAAAAUGGUGCUUGAAAUAAGCAUGCCACAAAGGAAAACCUGCUUUCUCGAAAUGGGCCCUGGCCGCCCAGGCCCUGACCUCCCCGGCCAGGAUGGAACGUUCCAGAGACCCAUUAGUGCCAAAGGCAAAUGAAAACACACCCUGUGAAAAUGUC
ensembl:lncRNA CEROX1 cytoplasmic endogenous regulator of oxidative phosphorylation 1